rnacentral:lncRNA from 1 species
GGUAGUACAAGCAGGGAAGGGGAAGCAUCGCGGAGUUUGGAUUUCAAAAGAAAAUAUCCAUCCAUCUUGAUGAGCAAAUUAGCCCAAUUUCACUGUAGAUAUUUUCCUCUUCUGCGUUUUGUGUGAAGUGUUUCUCUGGAAAAAAAAGCAAUUUCUCUUUACAAGUGUUAUGCGAUGUGCAAGUUGGCUGUCGACAUAGGCUUAUGUUUGUAUAGAUUGCUGAACAUAAAUAUGAGCGACAAGUGUUUAUGAAGCAUCCUUUUAGGAAAAUAUGAGCGAGUAGUCUGUUUGAAAAGGGAAUUGCUACAGUACCUCCAAAUGAACGUGGACCGUCCAUCUAAUUAGAUAUUACCUCCUAGGAGGUAAUAGUUGAGUC